GCCUGAGGAGUCCCUGUCCUCACCUCAGGGCACGAGUGAGGCACCCUUGCCCAUGUCAUGAGGGGCGGAAGGGCCCCAGAGCCACCCCAGCUCGGCACAGGUGGUGCUGAGGGGCAGCUGCUGCUCUUUGGCCUCUCACCUGCAGCUUGUCCCCACUAACGGGUCUCCCUGUGGCACGGCAUAUGGCUGCUGCCCAUGAGGCCUGUGGGGAGCAGGGGGAGGUGGGUGAGGAGGCCUGGGCCAGGGAGCUGCAGGUGCCUUUCCUCACUGUCCUCCUGAAGGAGCUCUCUGUGGGGAUGCAGAGUGAUCCUGCCUCAUCCUUCCUGAGGAGAAGCCACAGCGCCAGCUUGAUGCAGAGGAUAAAACCUACUUCCAUGGCUGGAAGCUUUCUAACGGGGUUUGAACUUAAAGCAGAUGAAGCAGCUUUGUCUCCGCCCUGUUUCAAAGCCAGGUGCAACAGAAGAAAUAGAGAACAAUGAUCACUAGGGAGCUUCUCUAUGAGACAAAUUCCCACUGAAGGAGGGAACCUCUAAUGCAGGAGACCAGAUACAGUCGCGAACAUGCUACCAAAUAAGAGAGGACAAUUGUUUUACAGUUUGUUUUUUUUAUUAUUAUUAUUUUUUAUUAUUAUUAUUAUUAUAUAAGAACUGGUACCAAAGCAUCUUGAGUGGACUUAAGGCUGCACUCCAGUGCUUCUUCCUGGCAGAUCUGAAGUCUCCUGCUUCUUCAGAGGAGCAGCUGCCUCCAUCACCGUUUUGGCAGAUCUGAGGUCUCCUGCCUCUUCAGAGGAGCAGCUGUCUCCAUCACCGUUUUGGCAGAUGUGAAGCUUUCUGCUUCUUCAGAGGAGCAGCUGCCUCCAUCACCGUUUUGGCAGAUGUGGAGCUUUCUGCUUCUUCAGAGGAGCAGCUGUCUCCAUCACCGUUUUGGCAGAUGUGAAGCUUUCUGCUUCUUCAGAGGAGCAGCUGUCUCCAUCACUGUUUUGGCAGAUCUGCUGCAGUCUCUGUGCACCACCAUGGAGGGCGCAGCUCCGUCUUUCAAGCACCUUCUCGUUGGGCAGCCUUCUCAUUCUCAGACUGAGACACCCAAGGCCCAGCGCAGCCUUCUGAGGGGGCCUCCUGUCGCCCCGGCGUAACAGCCCAAACGAAGUCAAGUCCACUCUUGCCUGCUCCUCGGGACUCCGAGCAGAAGAGAUGACACCUCUGAACGAGAGGUGGGGAUGGGGGAUGGGGAUGGGGGAGGGGGAUAGGGAAGGAGGCCACCCCACAGGCAAGCCUGCUUGAUGGUAUUUGGGUGGCCUCCCCCCUAAUGGCGGCGGAGGCUGUGCCGUGGAUAUGGAGCUUUCCGGGCGCUCCUGCAAUGCAGACGUUUCCUUGCAGGUGGGAGCCCUGGCACGGUGACAUUGUGCCAAGCCACAUGGGCUGGAGGUGGAUCCACCUCCAUCGGUUCGUCGACCUCUGGAGCCGGAUCCACCUCCAUGGGCUCCACAUCUGCCGCACCGGUCGCUCCAUACCCGUCGUCACUCCUCCGCCGCCAUUUACACUGUGGUUCCAUGAACCACUUGGCUGCGCGCAGCUGCGGGCAGUUCGUCUUCCAGGGUCUCUUCAGUCCAGCCAUGCUGGCAAUCGCUGAGAACCUGGAAGAUGAGUGAGUGGCGGGCCAGGCGCAGGGGCUUUUAUAGGCCCCUGUCACAAUGCGAGGGGCAGAUGCCACUGUGACAUCAGGACGCCUCAGCGAUGCCCCCAUGACAACGUGCCACGCCCGAGGCCAAGCGUGGCCAUGUUGGGAGUGGGUUUCUGCAGCCUGGAAGAGGCCCUUAUGUGAAAGGAGGCCUGCAGGUGGGGGAAAGAGAGGGGGCCACUCUGAGGUGCCCCCUUGCCCUCAUCUCUAGUGUUCAGGAGAAACCUUCUCUGUGGCUUCUUGCUUCCUCGUUUGGAGGAAGAGCUCUCCCAGCUGGUUGGGAGACUGCAAAAGGAUGCCAUGUGGAACUCCCUGCAGUGACAUACAUUUUGGGAAGAGCCAGUAGGAACUAGAAACCUCAUGAAGAGGUUGCUUUCGUUAUGUGGAGGUGGAAUGUGGAUGCUGAAUGUUAGACGUCUUGGUCAAAUGAGUCAGUGCAUUUCAAAGCAAACCAAACCGAGCAAAUAAAAAGCAAUGCUUUGACAAGCACAAAGCUUUCAGGAGCUGUUCGGUGUUGAAAUUGUGAAACAAGGCACCCCCAGCCACAUCGUGCUUUGAGGUUAUUAAGAGUCUCAUCACAGAAUGGCUGAGGUUGGAAAGGACCUCUGGAGAUCAUCUGGUCCCACCCCUCUGCCAAGCAGGGUCACCUCAAGCACACUGCACAGAAUUGCAUCCAAGUGGGUUUGGAGUAUCUCCAGAGAAGGAGAUGCCACAGUCUCUCUGGGCAACCUGUUCCAGUGCUCCACAUUUCAGCCAUUACGAGCGUACCAAGAAACUUCUAGACUAAACUGUGCAGAGACUAUGCUACGGUGACCUAUUCUGUGGGAGAGCAACAAAGAAACGUGGUCAAAUCACUGUUCUUAGCUGAAAGAAGUCUCGUAUGCACAGUAACCAGGUGCCCUUUCACACACCUUGCUCAUCUUCCAUUCUUAGCAAAUCCCCAUAACAUCCGUUAGGUUCACACCUACAUGUAGGAGCGAGGAAACAUUCAGGCUUGAGCUAGCUGGUCACCACUAAGGUCCAGAGGCUCGCGUGCCUUCAUCCCAGAGAACAGGUGGCAAAAGCAGUCAGGUUUGCACAGGUGCCCCCCUGAAAUCGGUGCAAAUCUUGCCAUUGAUCUUCUACAGUAGUGGAAUUAAGCUGACAUUAAAUGAUUUUUAAGGGUUGUAACAGAAGUUUUACGAGAAAAAGGAAAAGAGCAGUUGUGUUGUACAUGUAUGCACUACCUCCAGCAAGCAUCCCAGUCCAGCAAUCUCCACUUCCCAUGGGCUGCCGUAGUUUGGAGGAGAUGGUCAGCACUGGAGGUAAGGCACUGCUAGGGUAGUUAGGCACCCUCACAACUACAAGUCUCAAGAAGCUUGGUAGGUGUGCAGAUUUAAAUGUGGCACAUAUGAACUGGAACACCAAACAGCAGCUCUUCAAAGGCAGUCAUAUGCUUAAAACUUUGUAUAGAAGCAGCACUACAAUUUGCUCUGAUAAGGCUUUCCCCCCCCACCCCCCCAGGGCCCCAAACUGCAGAAAGGAGAAGAUCCCUCCCCAGGGCAUCACAGUGCUGUGAUGCUCCUUUGCCUGCCGGUCACACAGCCUGAAGAAAGCCAGGUCUUGCAAGGAGGCAGGUAAAAGCACAGAUGGAAAGAAAAAAGGAAAAGAAAAGGAAGCUGCUGCUGCUGAGCCCCCUUGGGACUCCUGGCAGCAUGGCUGAGACCUUGCCUGCAGCCUGCUUGCCUCAGGCUCACAGCAUCACCCUCAGCUCCCCUCCCUCGCUCUGCCAAGAGCAACCGGAGGGCAUCAUCUCUAUUUACAGCCAGCAAAGAUCAGGGAGAUAACAUCUCAAAAACGAGGAAUUUUUAGAUUUAGAAAAAAAUCAUUUCCUUCUUUUCCAUAGCAAAAUAGAAAAGGGAAACCAAAACAACAGAAAGAAGAGUGCUCGCAAAGCCAGGGCAGGGAAAGGACUUGAAAAACAAUGUUUUCUUUUAUUUUCCUUAUUUCCCUCAAUGCCAAAGGAAACAUAUAUGUAUAUACAUAUGAAAAAGUCUCAUUCUCAUGGUAGACACCAUACUUUUUUUUGUUGUUGUUGACUGAGAUCGCCUAUCUGCAAAUUAGAAAGAGCUGCGUUUUGGGACCACAUUUCUCUCUUCUACUGAAGAAGUCUGCUAGUUUUUAAAUGUUUUGGGACAAAACAAGGAACACAACAAAAAGCUGACCAUUAGAUAGCCAUUGGAUGCAUACUAAAAUCAAACUUGUGAAACUUUCAUCUGAGUGUGUGUGUGCUUACAGGAGAUAAAUAUGUAAUACGUUACAGGAUAUCAAAACUGAUCUACUGUUCUCUCUUAUUUUGCCAGCUCUUUGGAUUAGACAACACGGCUUCCCUACCCUGCACUAUGAAUCAGGGAGAGGAAAAGUUUUUAUAUUAAAGAAUACAUUUUUCAAAGCCUGAUUAUACAUUCUUGGCUGAGAGGAAUUACUACUAGAAAUAUUGUGCUGAAAUAUAUUCUCAGCACAAUGCAAACGGCUUUUGCUGUGGAUUUCAGGAGAGUAAUGAAAUCUCAUUAAACCCCAAAAUGGGCAGACACUGCACCUUUCCAAACCAGGUCUAGUUUCCUGACAUUUCUACUUUAGCAGCAGAUGAUUUUAGACAUACUUUUAAUACACCUCAGUAUGUCUGCCUUUCAUUGCAUAACAUUCAUUUAUGUUUGAAAAGGGAAACGGCACCAACUGUACAUCAAAUUGCUCCGUACUGAGCCUAUAAACGGUGAUCAUGGUGUCUUUAUGCAUCAGAAAAUGACAAGUUUAAACAGCAAGAAUGAGGCACCCUUGUACUGCAAUAGCAAAUUUUACCCAAACUGCAUGGGUGGAAAAGUGCAUGUGGUAUAACCCAUUUACGUAACAGAGUGACCGUGUACAACAUUUUGGACCUUUGUUCUGUUUAAGACAAACACCCAGGAGCAGCAGAUACUACCUGUGCCAUUACUUUGUAUUACAAUGCAUUUAGUGAAGCACAGCUUAUCAAGAGCUGUCUCCCACUGUAUUCUUGCUUCUUUCUUCUCAGCUACUUCCAUGGCUGGAAGCUUUCUAACGGGGUUUGAACUUAAAGCAGAUGAAGCAGCUUUGUCUCCGCCCUGUUUCAAAGCCAGGUGCAACAGAAGAAAUAGAGAACAAUGAUCACUAGGGAGCUUCUCUAUGAGACAAAUUCCCACUGAAGGAGGGAACCUCUAAUGCAGGAGACCAGAUACAGUCGCGAACAUGCUACCAAAUAAGAGAGGACAAUUGUUUUACAGUUUGUUUUUUUUUUAUUAUUAUUAUUUUUUAUUAUUAUUAUUAUUAUAUAAGAACUGGUACCAAAGUAUCUUGAGUGGACUUAAGGCUGCACUCCAGUGCUUCUUCCUGGCAGAUCUGAAGUCUCCUGCUUCUUCAGAGGAGCAGCUGUCUCCAUCACCGUUUUGGCAGAUGUGGAGCUUUCUGCUUCUUCAGAGGAGCAGCUGUCUCCAUCACCGUUUUGGCAGAUGUGAAGCUUUCUGCUUCUUCAGAGGAGCAGCUGCCUCCAUCACCGUUUUGGCAGAUGUGGAGCUUUCUGCUUCUUCAGAGGAACAGCUGCCUCCAUCACCGUUUUGGCAGAUGUGAAGCUUUCUGCUUCUUCAGAGGAGCAGCUGUCUCCAUCACCGUUUUGGCAGAUGUGAAGCUUUCUGCUUCUUAGAGGAGCAGCUGUCUCCAUCACUGUUUUGGCAGAUCUGACAUCUCCUGCUUCUUCACAGGAGCAGCUGUCUCCAUCACCGUUUUGGCAGAUGUGAAGCUUUCUGCUUCUUCAGAGGAGCAGCUGUCUCCAUCACUGUUUUGGCAGAUCUGCUGCAGUCUCUGUGCACCACCAUGGAGGGCGCAGCUCCGUCUUUCAAGCACCUUCUCGUUGGGCAGCCUUCUCAUUCUCAGACUGAGACACCCAAGGCCCAGCGCAGCCUUCUGAGGGGGCCUCCUGUCGCCCCGGCGUAACAGCCCAAACGAAGUCAAGUCCACUCUUGCCCGCUCCUCGGGACUCCGAGCAGAAGAGAUGACACCUCUGAACGAGAGGUGGGGAUGGGGGAUGGGGAUGGGGGAGGGGGAUAGGGAAGGAGGCCACCCUACAGGCAAGCCUGCUUGAUGGUAUUUGGGUGGCCUCCCCCCUAAUGGCGGCGGAGGCUGUGCCGUGGAUAUGGAGCUUUCCGGGCGCUCCUGCAGUGUAGAUGUUUCCUUGCAGGUGGGAGCCCUGGCACGGUGACAUUGUGCCAAGCCACAUGGGCUGGAGGUGGAUCCACCUCCAUCGGUUCGUCGACCUCUGGAGCCGGAUCCACCUCCAUGGGCUCCACAUCUGCCGCACCGGUCGCUCCAUACCCGUCGUCACUCCUCCGCCGCCAUUUACACUGUGGUUCCAUGAACCACUUGGCUGCGCGCAGCUGCGGGCAGUUCGUCUU